UUGGCUAAUUAUCCCAAGACUUUUAAAGCAGGCACUGGGCAAGAGGCCUCGAAAUGUGGGCCCUGUUUUGAAAGCACAUGGGCUAUAGUGCUGCUUUGUUUUGUUGUGUUUGAAGUCGCCCUAGAGGAGCUGCUGGUGUAGAUCUGGAUAAAUGCUUAAACAUUAUCUGAUUGUUAUAUCUGCUAUAUGCCAAUGAAGAUUUAUCAAUUGCUGUUUCUCCCGUGUUUUUGUUUGGUCCCCUGGUUGGCCGGUCUCAGGAGUGUGCUGCAUGGUGGCAGCACGUGUAUCGUGUGAAUUGUUUGUGUAUGAGUCCGGUUGGCGGGGCUUUGUUUUUUUGUAUUCUUUUAUUUUUAUUGGUGAUACCUUCCCAGCCUUAUGCUGCCAGCUUAACUUAUGGUGCUUGUAUUUUGUGUGCGUGUGUGCAUGCCUUUGUGUAUGGGAUGUAUGUUAACCUCUUUGAGAGCUGGGACCAAUUCUGGAUGAGCUACUGGUAUCAAUUUGUUUAAUGUUUAGAUGUUUUAUGUAUAUUCUCUGUCCUAUUUUAAAAUAAAUUUUUGUACAUUA